CGGAAGGCCUUGCCAAUGACGUGGCUCUCUAAAUAGGAGGUCAUAGAUUUGAUCCUAUUGGGUAAACCCAGGGAAUGACAAAAGUAGCUACAGUACAUUAUACACACUACGUAAAUGAGGUAAACCAUGAUGGUCAUCUUCGGGAACGCCCACUAAUUCGUCUGGUGGUCUCGUAAAAAUGUUCAUGCCCUUAGGGAGGUGUCUAGCCAGUUUUGCAAGGAAGUCUGCAACACAGUUUUGUUCUAGGGUGGCUACAACUACUUGCCAUACUUCGAAAGUACGGAGUUCUUUCUUGCAUGCCUGGAGGAUGUUGUGAACCACAGACAUUGAGGGUGUAUUAUUAUUUAUAUAACUGGCUAUCUCACUAGCAUCUGUCUCAAUAUAAGAUUAUUAUAUUGUUACUAAAAAGUAUUAACAUAUUUGAGAUCGGAUCAGUCUCACAUUAGACCGUCUCAUACAAGUUUUUGAGUUUGCUAUAAUAUUUAUUCAUGUAGUUUUGAUCACAUCAUGAGGCUUUGG